rnacentral:rRNA from 1 species
GACGAACGCUGGCGGUGUGCUUAACACAUGCAAGUCGAACGGUAAGGCCCUUUCGGGGGUACACGAGUGGCGAACGGGGGAGUAACACGUGGGUAACCUGCCCUCAUCUCUGGGAUAACGGUCGGAAACGGUUGCUAAUACUGGAUAUGAGCUUGCAAGGCAUCUUGUGGGUUGGAAAGAUUUUUUUGGUUGGGGAUGGACUCGCGGCCUAUCAGCUUGUUGGUGAGGUAGUGGCUCACCAAGGCUUCGACGGGUAGCCGGCCUGAGAGGGCGACCGGCCACAUUGGGACUGAGAUACGGCCCAAACUCCUACGGGAGGCAGCAGUGGGGAAGAUUGCACAAUGGACGGAAGUCUGAUGCAGCAACGCCGCGUGCGGGAUGACGGCCUUCGGGUUGUAAACCGCUUUCAAUUGUGACGAAGCUUUUUGUGACGGUAGCAGUAGAAGAAGCACCGGCUAACUACGUG